ACAAGGUCGUGUUGAUAUUUAGACAUUACGUUAUCGGAAGUAGAAUGACGAAAUUAUUGCAAAUUCGAACACCGUUAGGGGUUUUAAAAUUUCAUAUAAGAUAUUGAGAUGAAUCAUUAGUGAAUUGAUGAAUGAUGUGUUACUACAUUUCGACGUGAUUUUAAAACAUUGAAGAGUAUGAAAUGACACCAAGGGCAAGGGUUAACGAAUAUCCUCCCGGAAGUUAAAGGUUGAAAACAGAAAUGGCAGGCAACACCAGCUACCCUGAUAGUAGAAAUAUUCCUUUGACUUUGACGGCAAAGUAUGCCUCAUCGUGGGGAACAUGGGAAGGAAUACGCGAACUUGUCCAGAACUGGCAUGAUGGGAUAUAUGGUUCCAUUAGCCAGAGAGGAAUUUCCUUGAUUUCUGAAUAUGAGAUUGUUUUUUGUGAGGAAGGAAGCAGUAACAGAUUCAAAGCCUGCCUCGUGAUAUCUGACACAAAAGAAGAAAUACUUCUGGGUCGAUUAAUAUACAACCAAUUAGAAAGCAAGCUGACCCUCAUCAACAGCUUUACCCAACUUCAUAAGAAAAUCCUGUUGCUAGGAUACAGCGGCAAAUCAUCUAGUAAAGAAAUCAUUGGGCAAUUUGGAGAAGGGUUAAAGGUCGGAGCGCUAGCAUUGGUCAGGAAUGGGCAUCUUGUUACCAUGGAAACAUGCAAGGAUCAAUGGAAGUUUGAUUUGAAAUAUAAUGAAGAAUUCGGAGAAAAAGUUUUGACAGUUGUUGUAACAGAGAGAAUUACAAGUGAAGGACUAGAUAGAAUAGGUGAACAAAAAAAUGGAAAUGUACAACCAUCUGAUACAUGUACUACUAUCACUGGAGUUGAUGACUGGAAAACUUAUCUUGCCAGAUUCCUAUUUCUUCAACCGCCAGUAGAAAGUGUGAAAACUCAACUUGGUAGUUUGCUGUUGGAUGAGAGUCUAGCGGGACAGAUGUAUGUCAAAGGAUUGUGGGUAUCUGACCUCAGUCAGGAAGACCUGGCAGCCGGCGUUGAUUUCACUUCCCUCCAACUGGAUCGUGAUAGAAACGCUGUCCCAAAACCGAGUGAAAUCGACCACAUGAUGAGUGGAAUUUGGAUCAAAGCUAUAGAGAGACGACCAGACCUUGUCAAUAGAUACUUUCAUUUGCUGAAAUCUGAACGAUACAGAGAUGUCCGCCAUGCUGCUGAGUACAGUACAGAAGAUUUUGCUAAAUCGAUUGCGUCUGUUUUUCUGAAUGAGUUUGGUGACCAUGCCUUCCCCUUGUUAAAUAGUAGCUCAGCUGAAGACAUGGCCUCUGUCAGUGAAGAACUCCGCCUGAUGACCAUCCUUUGUAACCAGACUAUGUAUGAGAUCCUGAUGAAGUCUGGGUCCUACAGGUCACUGGAGAGUGCUCUGGAGGCAAACAGAGCAAAGCAGAGGAAACCUGUUGCAUUCUUCUCCCUGACCCAAAUUGAAGUCGCUGUGCUGGAAUCAGCUGUAGAGCUAGCGAGACUGGUCGACACUUCGGUGGAUAUUUCCCUGUUGGAUAUAAUAGAAACAAGUCUUACAGAGAGUCGGGCCAUUUCUACUGUACACUGCUACCUUAAAGCGGGAGUUCCGAUUCUGACUAUGAAAAAUACAUGCUCAAGUGAUGGCUCCAGAAUUUCCGUCCCAAGAUGGUACUUGGAUAAAUCUUGUGUUCACAAGAGGGGAUCUCUAUGUGGCAGAACCAACGAAACAAUGGAAAAGGAAGAAUGUAAAUGCUGUGAGGUUGUUCUGUGUGCAGCCAUUCUGGGUCUGAGAAAGCAGGACAUGUACUCUCCUUUCAUGUUUCUUGUUCAGAAAUUGAUUACCAAGAGUUCAAACGGAAAACCACUGAGCAGACGGCAAAAAAUCAAAGAUGGUGUCUCGGACAGGAGCACUUUGAACAAUGAAGUAUUUAUUGCCAGGGAGACGAAAUUAUUGGAGAAGAUACAACAACUGGAGGAGGCUUUGUCAAAAGAAAAACAGAAUGGAAUUGAUAAAUUAGUGAAAGUCAGGAAAAAACUGAAAGAGGCUGAGCAACAUCUGACUCGGAGAGAAAUUUCUGUUAUUGAUGAAGAGGCGCGAAUACAAGAAAGUUAUAAAACAGAAAUUGAACAAUGGAAGAAAAAGUCGCAGGCAAAAUUAGGAGAGCUUGAACGUUCACUGGUGAGGAAAGAUGACAUCAUUGUGAACCUUCAGACAACUGUGGACUUCAAACAAUCACAGCUGACUACAGCACAGAAACAGUUAGAAGCCAGUGAUGCAGCAUCAGAAAGGAAGGUGGGGUGUCUGGUGGAUGAGCUGAUGCACUAUAUAUCACAGAAUCGUAACAGGACAAAAAGUCUUUCAAAAUUAUGUGCGGAGCAGUGCCAAAAUAUUCAAGAGGAUGAGUCAAAGGAGAAAUGGCAGCUACUACAGGAACUAUGUGACACCAUUUUACAGGAGCUACAGCUUGCAGAGUCCAUGUAGCAUUCCACGGUGGUAAACAAGGAAGGGAUGAUUUAGGCGAUAAGUUCGCUAGACAUGCAGGAUACAACGAUGUUGGAGAGGAAAAUGACGUCAUCAUUAUCUACCCACAAGUCAAAGCGGAUAUGAUCCAAACGGCUGUUUUGAUUGGUGGGGCUAUACAGAUGCUAAUUUUGCAAACAAAAAUGGCGUCAAAAUGAUGGCAGUCAAGAACAUGAUUGAUCGCGUGACUGCACCAUGAUAGCUUUGCCAAUGA
rnacentral:misc_RNA from 1 species